UACGUAGGGUGCGAGCGUUAAUCGGAAUUACUGGGCGUAAAGCGUGCGCAGGCGGCUUUGUAAGACAGGCGUGAAAUCCCCGGGCUCAACCUGGGAAUUGCGCUUGUGACUGCAGGGCUGGAGUGCGGCAGAGGGGGAUGGAAUUCCGCGUGUAGCAGUGAAAUGCGUAGAUAUGCGGAGGAACACCGAUGGCGAAGGCAAUCCCCUGGGCCUGCACUGACGCUCAUGCACGAAAGCGUGGGGAGCAAACAGG
rnacentral:rRNA from 1 species